rnacentral:rRNA from 1 species
CCAUAUGGUCGACCUGCAGGCGGCCGCGAAUUCACUAGUGAUUCGUAUUACCGCGGCUGCUGGCACAGAGUUAGCCGGUGCUUAUUCUGUCGGUAACGUCAAAACAGCAAAGUAUUAAUUUACUGCCCUUCCUCCCAACUUAAAGUGCUUUACAAUCCGAAGACCUUCUUCACACACGCGGCAUGGCUGGAUCAGGCUUUCGCCCAUUGUCCAAUAUUCCCCACUGCUGCCUCCCGUAGGAGUCUGGACCGUGUCUCAGUUCCAGUGUGACUGAUCAUCCUCUCAGACCAGUUACGGAUCGUCGCCUUGGUGAGCCAUUACCCCACCAACUAGCUAAUCCGACCUAGGCUCAUCUGAUAGCGCAAGGCCCGAAGGUCCCCUGCUUUCUCCCGUAGGACGUAUGCGGUAUUAGCGUCCGUUUCCGAACGUUAUCCCCCACUACCAGGCAGAUUCCUAGGCAUUACUCACCCGUCCGCCGCUCUCAAGAGAAGCAAGCUUCUCUCUACCGCUCGACUUGCAUGUGUUAGGCCUGCCGCCAGCGUUCAAUCUGAGCCAGGAUCAAACUCUAAUCGAAUUCCCGCGGCCG